rnacentral:rRNA from 1 species
ACGGAAGGCAGCAGUGGGGAAUAUUGCACAAUGGGCGAAAGCCUGAUGCAGCGACGCCGCGUGAGUGAAGAAGUAUCUCGGUAUGUAAAGCUCUAUCAGCAGGGAAGAAAAUGACGGUACCUGACUAAGAAGCACCGGCUAAAUACGUGCCAGCAGCCGCGGUAAUACGUAUGGUGCAAGCGUUAUCCGGAUUUACUGGGUGUAAAGGGAGCGUAGACGGCGAGGCAAGUCUGAAGUGAAAGCUCGGGGCUCAACCCCGGAACUGCUUUGGAAACUGUUUUGCUAGAGUGCAGGAGAGGCAAGUGGAAUUCCUAGUGUAGCGGUGAAAUGCGUAGAUAUUAGGAGGAACACCAGUGGCGAAGGCGGCUUGCUGGACUGUAACUGACGUUGAGGCUCGAAAGCGUGGGGAGCAAACAGGAUUAGAUACCCUGGUA